rnacentral:rRNA from 1 species
AGUGAACGCUGGCGGUAGGCCUAACACAUGCAAGUCGACCGGCAGCACAGUAAGAGCUUGCUCUUACGGGUGGCGAGUGGCGGACGGGUGAGGAAUACAUCGGAAUCUACUUUUUCGUGGGGGAUAACGUAGGGAAACUUACGCUAAUACCGCAUACGACCUACGGGUUAAACCAGGGGAUCUUCGGACCUUGCGCGAUUGAAUGAGCCGAUGUCGGAUUAGCUAGUUGGCGGGGUAAAGGCCCACCAAGGCGACGAUCCGUAGCUGGUCUGAGAGGAUGAUCAGCCACACUGGAACUGAGACACGGUCCAGACUCCUACGGGAGGCAGCAGUGGGGAAUAUUGGACAAUGGGCGCAAGCCUGAUCCAGCCAGACCGCGUGGGUGAAGAAGGCCUUCGGGUUGUAAAGCCCUUUUGUCGGGAAAGAAAAGCAGCAGGUUAAUACCCCGCUGUUCUGACGGUACCCAAAGAAUAAGCACCGGCUAACUUCGUG